UACGAGGGGGGCAACUGUUGUUCGGAAUCACUGGGCGUAAAGGGAGCGUAGGCGGGUUUCUAAGUCAGGUGUUUAAUCCCGGGGCCCAACCCCGGACAGGCACUUGAAACUGGGAAUCUUGAAUAGUGGAGAGGUCAGUGGAAUUGGGGGUGUAGCGGCGGAAUGCGUAGAGAUCCCCAAGAACACCAGUUGCGAAGGCGGCUGACUGGACACAUAUUGACGCUGAGGCUCGAAAGCAUGGGGAGCAAACAGG
rnacentral:rRNA from 1 species